GUGCUCAGGCAGGCCUUGUACUUGCGGAUCGUAACUUUCGGUGGAAUAUUCCGCUUUCGUGGUGCACUUUGAAAACCGAGGAUUCCUCCCAGCGUGGUGUGUGUAUCCAGCUUGUCUCCAGGAGCCACUUGCGAUUGGGAAAUGGUCCCAGUGGAUGAACCGCAGCGGAGCGUCCUCAUACAGUAAGGUCCUGUGGAACAGAGUCCUAGGAACAGACCAGGGAGUUGACGUGCGCCACUAAAACCUGAGGCACAGUAGCAUAGGUUUGUUGCGCAUCGCGCGGUGCUCAGGACAUCCCACCAAGGCCCAGGAGUCAAGUCGGAACUGGGCUGGAGGAGGACGCAUAAGGUCCUUUCUAUUUGAGAUGCAGGUUAGCUCUUCUGCACAGUACUUGUCGUUGGUUUGGUUCAUUAGUCUUGUUUUCCGAAAGAAAUGCUGCCGGGAACCCAUCAGAUAUAUGUUCCAAGUGAAUAGGAAAGAAGCGAGGUUUUUUGACGAUUCUUUGGCAUUUGAACCAUGGUGUCAUGUGUCCCCCGUGCAAUCUUUACUGUGGCCAAGGCUGGGAGACUGUAGCACAAGGCGCCGACUGGGUCUCCCGCCUGUCAUCUGCGGCGCCCCCGUGAGGGGAGGGGCGGGCUGUCUGACACAGUUAUUAAACCUGGCAGCUGCGUUGGCGGCACCGAGAAGCAUUUUGGGGGAGCUCGAGUAAAAUACGGGGCUGCCUGCUGGCCAUCUGCUUGAUCUUUCUCGCUGCCUGCAAAACAGCCACUUAGAUCUUCCUCGUGGUUCUGGUUGGUGACCAGAGUUCGGGCACUUUGGCAAACACUUGAAACGUGAGUAUCUGCCACCUCGCCCAGGGCAGGCGACAGGCUUGGAAUGUUUCCGGCUUCUCUACUGGAAGCUUUAGAGAGCGAUGGGUGAGGGAUCAGGCUGCGGGAGUGAGGUAAGGGGACCCAAGUCACCAAGCCUAGCCUGGAGGUGGCGCGAGCAAGCUUCAGCCCUGGCAGCUGCGGGAGGGACUUAAGCGCAUCGCAGGAGGACUGCUCCUGUGUUCGAACCCAACACAAAAGAACCCUGGGCCUAGGAAGCCGAGGUGCACAGUCCUGUCCAGCCACUUGGGAAAGGCGAUGAGCCUUUAGGGUUGUCUCACAGCAAUGAGAAAUAGCUUAUGCCCUCCUGUCCGUGGGGAUCUUUGUGCACUGCAUAGGGAUUGUCGCGGUCCUCCCUGAAGCCACCUCGCUGGGCAACAGGCUCACUGCCCCUGGGUCUGGAUCCCAGGGGGAUUUCAGAGUUCUGAGACUUCAAGCCUCUCUGCCAGGCUUCACGCUGAUUUCUUCCUUUCCUGCACACGGUGCUUGUUCUUCCAGGGCAAGCAUAUAUUUGGAGACUAGAGACAAAAGAAAAGACCCCAAUUCCCUCCUUCUCCUCAAAUUACGAAUCUUGUGAAAAGGUGCCGUGGGUUUUGUUUGAUGUUGCCAUUGCUUGCUAGUGGAAACCUUAUUGUACAAUUUAGUAUUUUAUUUAAUUUUGGAGAUUUUGAACUUUACACAUCUGGCAAAAAAAUGCAAGUCUUCUCUGAGGUCUAGGUAUCUCUUGAGGAAUUUGGCUUUCCCUAAAGGGUUCCAAGAAAUGCUCAACACAGACCAGUGCCCCUCCCCCCCAAAUGCCUUGUUCAGAUACUGGGGUGUCCCCAUUGGCCCAGAAGCCUGUGGUUUUGUCUGUCCCAGUCUCCUGAGGUCUCUGUGCAAGGCUUGCUUUUGUUCGCCUGUGAUUUCUCGUGUCCAGUAUGCAGCGUCCCGGGGUGUGGGACAUAGAAGACAUGGCCUUCUCUAAAAGGUUCUACAGAUCAAGACUAGUGCCAGUUGGCGAAGCCAGCUAUGAACAAGUGCUGGAACUUUCAGGUCUGUGUCUUCUCAGGCACAGCCAGGUCACAGCAAAGUGAUCUCCAGACCUGCGUAAGAGACACGCCAAGGUUUGGGCUGUUCUUCCGAUUCUAUUUCCUGGCUGAGUGGCUUUUGUCAGCCUGACCUUUGAGGGUUGAUUUAAUAAGAGCAAGCCAGACAGGAGGAGAAAGCAAGCAGAAAGGGGUGGCGGGCACUUUAACACUCAGAAAAGCCUCAUCCAAACGUAGCUUAGAAACUCAACUGAUUAUAAAUUAGUCUAUAGGUAGGAAACUAAAUCCAUUAUGGAUACAUAUUAUGGACUAUAUAGAUCCUUUAAUUUUACAUAUGGGAUUAUGGUCCUGGUCCCAAAGUGAGGCUUGGUAUUUGGUGCUUGAAUUUUCACUAAAUCUCGAUCUUCACCCCAUGGUGUGGUUUCUCAGUUCUUUGUUAAUUAAAAUCAGAUUGUGACUAAGUGAAUGUGCCGUGAAAAGCAACCAAUGUGGCUCUGAGGUAUGAAGAAUGACGUAGAAGCCAAAUCAAGCCUUUCUAUUAAAUUUAAUGGUG
rnacentral:lncRNA from 1 species